GGGGAUGUAGCUCAAAUGGUAGAGCGCUUCGCUUAGCAUGCGAGAGGUACAGGGAUCGAUACCCCUGCUUCUCCA
rnacentral:tRNA from 1 species